UUGGUGGCCACAGCGACGUGAGAGCUCCCAGCCACCCGCAUCCACUGGGAAUCCAGCUUUUCCAGGACUGUGGUCGCCCUGUCCUGUCGGCUGUGGCAGGAAAGCAGCCCCAGAAUCCUCAUGCACUGGCAAGAGGACCCAGAUCUCAAGGACAAAAAUAUCUAUGAGAAGAACCCAGACUCGCAUGAUUAUAACAAGGACCCCGUUUUGGACGUCUGGAAAAUGCAACUAGUCUUCUUGUUUGGCUUCUCCAUCAUCCUGGUCCUUGGCAGCACCUUUGCGGCCUAUCUGCCUGACUACAGAAUGCAAGAAUGGGCUCGCCGCAGAACUGAGAGGCUUGUGAAAUACCAAGAGGCCAGUGGCCUCCCCAAAGCAGUGGAAUCCAACUGCUUUGACCCCAGCAAGAUCCAGCUGCUGGAGGAUGAGGACUGACCAGUUGCUGAGUGGGGCUCAAGCACCACCUUCCCCACUCCCUGCCUACCAUUCUGACCAGAGAACCUAAGUGAAGGCGCUGAACGUAAAACAACAACAAUAACAACAAAACCACAAAAAGACCCCAGACAAGAUAUCCACAUGAAAAGGAAUAAAGUCAGACACUACCUCAUACAACAUAUGAAAAUUAACUCAGAAUGGAUCAUAACCUAAUUGCAGAGCUAAAACUAUAACACUCUUAGAAGACGAACACAGAAAUAACUCUUUGUGAUGGAUUAGGCAACAGUUUUUUAAGUGAUACAACACCUAAGGCACAAGCAACCAAAGAAAAAAUAGAUAAACUGAACUAUGUCAAAAUUAAAAACUUUUGUGCUGCAGAUGAUACCAGUAAGAAAGAUAAUCCACAGAAUGAGAAAAAAAAAAAAAACGUGCAAAUCAUGUAACUGAUAAGGCACUUGUUAUAAGAAAUUCUUAGAACCCAGUAA